UAUUAUAUAUUUAAUAAAUUGAAUUUGUAAUUCAAAAAAGUACUUUGCUGCCAGAGCCUUUAAAGG
rnacentral:tRNA from 1 species